rnacentral:rRNA from 1 species
UGCGAUGGACGCGCGGCAGGCCUAACACAUGCAAGUCGAGCGGUAGAGAGAAGCUUGCUUCUCUUGAGAGCGGCGGACGGGUGAGUAAUGCCUAGGAAUCUGCCUAGUGGUGGGGGAUAACGUUCGGAAACGGACGCUAAUACCGCAUACGUCCUACGGGAGAAAGCGGGGGACCUUCGGGCCUCGCGCCAUUAGAUGAGCCUAGGUCGGAUUAGCUAGUUGGUGAGGUAAAGGCUCACCAAGGCGACGAUCCGUAACUGGUCUGAGAGGAUGAUCAGUCACACUGGAACUGAGACACGGUCCAGACUCCUACGGGAGGCAGCAGUGGGGAAUAUUGGACAAUGGGCGAAAGCCUGAUCCAGCCAUGCCGCGUGUGUGAAGAAGGUCUUCGGAUUGUAAAGCACUUUAAGUUGGGAGGAAGGGUAGUAACUUAAUACGUUGCUACUUUGACGUACCGACAGAAUAAG